AGUUCCUCUUGUAUUGAUUUUAUUUUAUUCUCUCAUAGAGAAGCUUGUAUGCCCUAUGGAGAUAGGUUUGAGGCCGAUCCACGUAUUUAUAUUAUAUUUUUUAUUUUUAUUUCUUCCUGCUACACCAUGUGGUAUCGGAUCCUACACAACAAUUAGUAUCAGAGCAAGAUGGUACCAGAACAUAGGUUACGAUGAUGGUGAUCG
rnacentral:lncRNA from 1 species